GGUGUUGCAUGCUUGGAAGAGAAAAUUUAGAAAAUUAAUUGGAAAACCAUAAAGAUAGCUUUCUCGUGAUAGCCACAAGGCUUGCUCCCUCAUUCUGCUCAUAUGUCACCCCCUCAAGGAGGCCUUCCCCAGCUCUGUAAACAACCUGUGCUCGGCGUUAACUUUUCUCCCUAAUGUUUAUCACUACCUGACAUAUACGUGUUUCCCACGACUCAACGAUAAGUGUUCAUGAGGGCAGACACUUUUUAAUGCCCUAUGACAAGCACCUAGAAUUGUGCCUGGCACAUGGUAGAUGCUUAGUAAAUAUUUGUUUAAUGAAUGAAGGUAAAAAACAUUUCUAAUACGACCAUCCAGGAAUAAGUACUAUUCAUGUUUUAGUGUGUUCUUACAGUUUUACUGUUCAGACAGUUAUAUGCC
rnacentral:lncRNA from 1 species